UGGGGAAUAUUGCACAAUGGGCGCAAGCCUGAUGCAGCCAUGCCGCGUGUAUGAAGAAGGCCUUCGGGUUGUAAAGUACUUUAAGCGGGGAGGAAGGUGUUGUGGUUAAUAACCACAGCAAUUGACGUUACCCGAAGAAGAAGUACCGGCUAACUCCGUGCCAGCAGCCGCGGUAAUACGGAGGGUGCAAGCGUUAAUCGGAAUUACUGGGCGUAAAGCGCACGCAGGCGGUCUGUCAAGUCGGAUGUGAAAUCCCCGGGCUCAACCUGGGAACUGCAUCCGAAACUGGCAGGCUUGAGUCUUGUAGAGGGGGGUAGAAUUCCAGGUGUAGCGGUGAAAUGCGUAGAGAUCUGGAGGAAUACCGGUGGCGAAGGCGGCCCCCUGGACAAAGACUGACGCUCAGGUGCGAAAGCGUGGGGAGCAAACA
rnacentral:rRNA from 1 species